rnacentral:tRNA from 1 species
GAAUAUGAAGCAAUAUAUUGCAAUUAGUUUCGACCUAAUUUUUAGGUAACUUUACCCUUAUUCU